UCUAUUAUCUCUUCCUGACUGACUCUUCUACCUUCCACUUAUGCUUUUAAGGCCUCAUGUGAGUACACUGGACAACUCAAAGUAAUCCAGGAUAAUCUCCCAAUGUUAAAGUCAGCAGACUAGUAAUCUAAGUGACAUCUGCAAUGGUCUGAAAGCUGGUCAUAGAUGGGAUGGCUCAGAAUGCUGCACCUUCAUUAUCGGCUUCUGCUUUGACCACAUCACAGCUCAAGAUUCUCACCGAAUUCUGUUUUGUGCCAUUAAAAUUGAACUUCUAAUCC